rnacentral:misc_RNA from 1 species
CCACCCGUGUUUAUUUACCUUGUUGCUUCGGCGGGCCCGCCUUAACUGGCCGCCGGGGGGCUUACGCCCCCGGGCCCGCGCCCGCCGAAGACACCCUCGAACUCUGUCUGAAGAUUGUAGUCUGAGUGAAAAUAUAAAUUAUUUAAAACUUUCAACAACGGAUCUCUUGGUUCCGGCAUCGAUGAAGAACGCAGCGAAAUGCGAUACGUAAUGUGAAUUGCAAAUUCAGUGAAUCAUCGAGUCUUUGAACGCACAUUGCGCCCCCUGGUAUUCCGGGGGGCAUGCCUGUCCGAGCGUCAUUGCUGCCCUCAAGCCCGGCUUGUGUGUUGGGCCCCGUCCUCCGAUUCCGGGGGACGGGCCCGAAAGGCAGCGGCGGCACCGCGUCCGGUCCUCGAGCGUAUGGGGCUUUGUCACCCGCUCUGUAGGCCCGGCCGGCGCUUGCCGAUCAACCCAAAUUUUUAUCCAGGUUGACCUCGGAUCAGGUAGGGAUACCCGCUGAACUUAAGCAU